CUGGACCCAACCGGUUCCCUCCCUCACAAAGAAUCUGUCUGGACCUCUUCAAGACAUCAGUGAUUCCAGCCCCGGACCUGUGCCUAAACCAGUUCAUGUUCUCUCUGUGAAAACCAUUCAAUAAACUCUGUUAAACUUUUA